AGCAGCCGCGGUAAUUCCAGCUCCAAUAGCGUAUAUUAAAGUUGUUGCAGUUAAAAGCUCGUAGUUGAAUUUCGGGAUCAGUUGAUCGGUCGUGCCUCGGUACGUACUGGUCAAAUUGAUUCCUACCUUCUGACGAACCACGAUGUCAUUAAUUUGAUGUCGCGGGAAAUCAGGACUGUUACUUUGAAAAAAUUAGAGUGUUUAAAGCAGGCUCGCGCUUGAAUACAUUAGCAUGGAAUAAUGAAAUAGGACGUUUGAUUCUAUUUUUGUUGGUUUUCUAGGAUCGACGUAAUGAUUAAUAGGGAUAGUUGGGGGGCAUUAGUAUUCAAUUGUCAGAGGUGAAAUUCUUGGAUUUAUUGAAGACUAACUACUGCGAAAGCAUUUGCCAAGGAUGUUUUCAUUAAUCAAGAACGAAAGUUAGGGGAUCGAAGACGAUCAGAUACCGUCGUAGUCUUAACCAUAAACUAUGCCGACUAG
rnacentral:misc_RNA from 1 species